UUCUCUCUCAAUCCCUUUCUCCCUUAUCUUUCAUUCUCUCUCACUUUCUCUUGCUCUAUCUCUUUUGUUAUAUAUAUCUAGUUGAAUAUUUAUAUUAAUCAAUCACACACGUUUAACUAAAACUAGAUUAUAAAUUAGAUUUCAUUUGAGUAGUAUACAUAUNNNNNNNNNNNNNNNNNNNNNNNNNNNNUAGUUUUCCAAAAAUAGCUAAUGAUGUCUCCAACUUUUGGAGCUAUAAUAUCUCAUAAUUGUUAGGUAUGUAAUCAUAGUGUGUUUGGCUAUAUAAAAAAAUUCACUAUUUUACCUAUUUUUUAUUAUGAUUUUAAUAAUUUAAUAGUUACUAUUGAAUUGAUAUGAUGUCUAAAAUAAUAAUUUAAAAUUACUUUUAAAAUUUUAAAAUAUAAUUUUACUAUUUUAAUUUUUUAUUAAAAAUGAAAAAAUUAUUUCAAAUAAAUAAAAAAAUAUUGUAUUCUAAAUUGUAGUAAUUAUUAAAUUUUCAAUAAUAAUUGAAAUUCAAUUCUAAAUUAAAGGUUCAAAAAAAAAAAAAAAGUAGGAGAAUUAACUUUAGCUUGAAAGGUUGUGUUUCACACUCCUAAAGCUAUGUUGUUGGAUAAAUUUCAAGUAGUUUAAAUUAUUAAAUUACUAAAUAAAAAUUAAUUAUUAAUAUUUAUAAUGCCCAUAAAACUAAUUAUUUAGUAUUAUUAAUUACUAAAUAAUAAAAUUAAUUAUUAAUAUUUUAAAAGUUCAUAAAAUUUUCAAGAAAGGAUAAGGUUUAUGUAUGUAUGUAUGUAUGCAGACAUGCUUUACAUAAACAGUAGGCCCUCAAAAUAUCUCUUCCCAACUUCAUUGGAUUUUUAUUCUAAAAUUAUAUCAUGUGACUGGGUCUAUUACUAUAAUAGUUUUAAAUUAAUUACUAAAUAAUUAUAAAAAAUAUAGAUAUGAUGCUUAGAAAAAUUUAAUUGUUGUUUUAAGUAUCUUGUUGAUAUUUAUUUAAAAAUUCUAUACCUACUUUAAUUAAGGAAGAUUGAAAGUUUAGAUUUCACUAAAUUUAUAAUAUAGUGUUCCAAUUUCAUGUAAAUAUAUAUAUAUAUAUAUCUAUCCAAUUUUUAAGUAGUCAGUACCAAUAUUCUUCAAGAAGGUCAAUUUCGUUAUGGGAUCUAUGAGAAUUUAAUAUAUAAAAAAUAAUUAUUAGUGAGAGAUUUUUUUUUUUUUUUUACUGGUGGGUCGUUUAGUAAAAGAGAAAUUUAGAUGUAUUAUUAUUAAUAUUUUUGAGUAAUCAACUUAUAAUAAGUAACACUUAUGGGGUAUGGGAGAUUGCCCUUUGAAAAUAGGAGUCAAUUAAAUGUCUAAUGUAUGUAUAUCUUUUUGAGUAUUAUGCUUGUGUUGGCUAAUUUCUCCUUACACUCUUCGAUUAUUAUUAUAAAAUCAUGCUAAAAACUUUGUUUUAAGAUUUUAAUUGUAAAAAAAUUGUCUUCUCGUAAUCACUCAAAAUGAAAGAAGNNNNNNNNNNNNNNNNNNNNNNNNNNNNNNNNNNNNNNNNNNNNNNNNNNNNNNNNNNNNNNNNNNNNNNNNNNNNNNNNNNNNNNNNNNNNNNNNNNNNNNNNNNNNNNNNNNNNNNNNNNNNNNNNNNNNNNNNNNNNNNNNNNNNNNNNNNNNNNNNNNNNNNNNNNNNNNNNNNNNNNNNNNNNNNNNNNNNNNNNNNNNNNNNNNNNNNNNNNNNNNUUUUUUUUAUUAACUUUGGUCUUGUUUAUUUAUUUAUUUUUUUUCAAGUGAUUAAUGAGCAUAUGAGGAAAGAAUGAUAUAAUGUAACGACCCUGAAAAUUCAAAAGAAAAUAUAUAAUAAUUUAAGUACGGAAACGAAAUAAAAGAUUAAGGUUUACAUCCCUUACACAAUAACUUAAAAGUAAUAAAUAAAUAUUACAUAAUGAAUUCUCUGAAAGAAACACGAGAAAUGAGAAAAGUAGAGGAAAAUAUAAAGUAUCUAGCAUCUACUCGCAAUCUUCUUGCGGAUCGGGUUCUGGAACCAGAUUAAGAAACCAGAUCCUCUUGAUCUGAAAUGGUUAAAUAAAGGAUGAGCUAUACUAGCCAAGUAAGGAUAUCACACUAUAUCAGCGGCACAGAAGCAAAUGUUGGUAGAAAAUCAAAACAACUAAUGGAGCACUAAAUUUAGCAAAUUUGUUUACCAAUCAUAAUAUCAUUUACUCUUCACUUACCACUGUGGAAUUUAUGAAAACAAACUAUAGAAGCAAUAAUAUCAUACAGAUCAUAACUUUAUGCACGAUCAGCAACAUAGAACAUAUCAUAAAUUUAUAUCAAUUAACAAUAAACUAAAUCAUAACCAUUUCUCGUUUCACCAGCCUACUAGUAUUCAUGGGGAUCAAUAGGAGUGUCCCCGCUACAAGUGAAUCAUUUCCCUUAACAAUCUUAAUUACAGAGCCGUCCCCAUACCCCGUUUGGUAUGAGUGCCAAGACAUUAAACCUCAAUAUUCCAUCCGGUAUGAGGGUGAAGUGGGACGUCUCCGUCGGGUAUGAGCACCAAAUUAUCAAGUCUCCAUACCCCGUCCUAUAUGAGACAAUGUUCACGGUAGGGUUCCCUAUGAACCUGGUCCGUCCACCAUCUCCUAAAGAUAUCUAGUGAGACUAUUAUCGUAUCUAUUUAUUUGAUCACACCAUUUUCUUAUUUUUCCUUAGUCUCCAUUACCAAAUUAAACAUAAUCAUAUAAACAAAUGAACAUGCAUCCGAUAAUGCAAUCAUAUCUUAAAUUCCAAAAUCAAACAGUGGUUGAGUAAGACAGUAAUACAUGCAUUUAAACCAUAAAAUAUACAAAACAGAUACCAUCAUGCUUUUAGACUGUAAAAUAAAUCAACAGAAAUCAACAGAGAACAAUGUCCGAUUCGGACUUCAUUAGCAAUCCGUAAUUAAUUAUGCACAUCUAUUUAAUUUGUACAAAAAACUGCAUUAUUAUUUAUUCAAACUUUAAAUCUAUGAUAGGAAAUAAGGUGAUGGAUCCUUAAUUAAUUUGACACCAAAGCUAAAUGGCUUACUGCGCCUACAGGCGGUUCCUGAAUUCUCUGAUUUUUUCUUCGAGAACUGAAACACACUUAUGGUACAUACAAAUGUUCCAAAUAUAACCAAAAAAUCAGUUCUAGGGUCUACUCGGCCAAUUUCGAAAAUCAGGCAUGACGGCUCUGUUGUGCUCCAGCGACGGCGCUGCAGCUGCAGCAGCAGUCCGCCUUGGGUUGGCUGUUUUCGGCCAAGUUCGAUCGAUUUUACAUCGAUUCCUGUGAGCACACAUGCUAAAGGGCCUCGAUGGGCAGAAAAAAUACGAAAAAUCGAAACUCACCAGCGGGAGACUUCCGGUGGACGGUCCCUCUAGCUCAUGUUGCGGUUGGGUGUUUCACUUCGGUCAACCUGUGGAGAGAAAAACANNNNNNNNNNNNNNNNNNNNNNNNNNNNNNNNNNNNNNNNNNNNNNNNNNNNNNNNNNNNNNNNNNNNNNNNNNNNNNNNNNNNNNNNNNNNNNNNNNNNNNNNNNNNNNNNNNNNNNNNNNNNNNNNNNNNNNNUUAUACCCAUCUACUUUUGAUAUGGGUCGUCCAUCGCUUUUGAUAUGAAUCGUCCGAUCACGAUUAAAUAGAAAAUGAAUCUGGGCCAUUCAUCGAGAUCCAAUCUAGGCCAUCUGUGCGCAAUUCACUUUGGGCUGUCCGUGCGCGUGGGAACGAACCUCAGCCGUUCGAUCACGCGCACGCGGGAUCCGGCCACAUGGCCCCCCCGCGUGGCCUCUGCGUCAGCGCCUUUGUCACUUGACGCGUUCUAGUUGGUCGGGGCGUCUAACGUGGCGUAAUUUUUUUAAAUUACGUUUUAACCCCCCGGUUUCUGAUUGUUUUUUCAAAAAUACAUUCAGAACCUAAAUUUUCACAUAUUUUUUUAAAAAUUAUUUUUAAUUUAAUUUUUAAUAGAUUUUUAUAUUUUCUAUUAAAAUAAAAUAAAAUAAAAUAAAUUAAAUUAAAUUAAAUAAAUAAAUAAUUAUAUUUAUUAAUAAAAAAUGAAAAAAAAAAAGUUUAGAUGAGUGUUACAUAUGGAGUAUAUACUUGUGGAUGAGCGAGAAAGAAUAUGGAGAAUGAGAGGGAAAAGGAGAGAAGGAGAAGAAGGAUAUAUACUUUGGGUUUGAGGAGAUAAAGACCUAUUAAGUUGAACUAAGAAAAAAUUUUAUUAGAUCAACUGAUUCUUUAAUUUUUUUUGGAAAAACAUGUCAAUUUAUAGUUUUAUUGUCGGGUAAUUUAAGAGAUGAGACUUUGAAUUGAAUUUCUACUACGAUGUUCAAUGAUUACAUAAGUAAAGAGUAUCAAACUAGUUUAAGGACGAAAUUUGAAAGUUCGAAAAUUUUCUUGUUAAGAACUUCUUGCUUCAUACAUGCACGAUGUGGUUUAUUCAAAUUUCGUUUCAAGGUUUUGAGUUGUUGUGAUAUGAAGGUAUUUGAGUGGUAAUGUAAUUUUUGUUCUCUAAGGUUUUAAACUAUAAUAAUAGUUUGAUUUUCUUAGGCAUGCACAUAUUUAUGUGCUUAUAUUCAUUACUUAUUACUCUAUUAUUAUUAUUAUUAGUGGCUAACAACACAUAGAUAUAAAGCUAAAAAAGAGUAAAUUAUGCAAAACCUAAGUUUAUAAAAAGGCCUUUAACGCUAAAGCCCAUAUUCACAAGCCCAACCCAUAUAAUUUAAUACCCCGCAAAAAGUUAGGGUUUCUCUCUUCACUCAACCUUAGGGUUUCCUUCAUCUGCCCCUCACACUCGAAUCUGCUCCUCUUUUUCUCUCCUUCCAUCCAUUCACUCGACCUACCAAUCAACCUCUUCUAGCUAUGGUGGUAGGAGGGUUUGAAGUAGGAGCAGUACCUUUUAAUCCAGAUGGCUGGGGACCGCCGGAUGCCACCACUACGCCGUCUUCAGCCACAGCCGCUGGCAAUCUCCCGCUGCACGUCCCCUUUGCUCCAUUUUCGCGCUCUGAUAAGCUCGGUCGCAUAGCCGAUUGGACACGCGCCCUUGCUAACCCCUCUGCCCGACCCCCCACUGCUGGUGGUGGUUCAAAGGGAAACCCCUCUGACUCCGCCGUCUUCGAUUUCUCCGCCUUCGCCAUCGACGACUCUUUCCCCGUCACCGGCUCUGGUGCUAACCUCGACGAGGAUUCAACUUUCCGCCUAGUCGAUGGAAAGCCCCCGCCGCGGCCCAAGUUUGGACCUAAGUGGCGGUUCACGCAGCAUCACCACCGCCCGCAGCUCCCUCAGCGUCGCGACGAGGAGGUCGAGGCCCGUAAGCGUGAGGCCGAGAAGGAACGCGCACGCCGAGACCGGCUUUACAACCUUAAUCGCUCGAAUGUCAACCAGCCGCGGAGGGAGGCUGCCGCCUUUAAGUCCUCUGUCGAUAUUCAGCCUGAAUGGAACAUGCUCGACCAGAUCCCUUUCUCCACUUUCUCCAAGCUUUCAUUCGCUGUCCCCGAACCCGAGGACCUUCUCUUGUGCGGCGCUCUCGAGUACUAUGACCGAGCUUAUGAUCGCAUUACACCUAAAAAUGAGAGGAGAUUGGAGAGGUUCAAGAACAGGAAUUUCUUUAAAGUCACUACCAGUGAUGAUCCGGUGAUUAGGAGGUUGGCUAAGGAGGACAAAGCCACAGUUUUCGCCACCGAUACUAUCCUGGCAGCCUUGAUGUGCGCACCAAGAUCAGUUUACUCGUGGGAUAUCGUGAUUCAGCGAGUUGGAAACAAGUUGUUCUUCGAUAAGAGAGAUGGCUCGCAGCUCGAUUUAUUGUCCGUGCACGAGACGUCGCAGGAACCUUUACCUGAGGCUAAAGAUGAUAUUAACUCUGCAUAUUCCUUGAGCGUGGAGGCUGCUUAUGUUAAUCAGAAUUUCUCGCAGCAGGUUUUGGUCAGAGAUGGGAACAAGGUGUCAUUUGAUGAGCCAAAUCCGUUUGCCAAUGAAGGUGAGGAGGUGGCUUCUGUUGCCUACAGGUAUAGGAGAUGGAAGCUUGAUGAUGAUAUGCAUCUUAUUGCAAGAUGUGAGGUGCAGAGUGUUGUUGAUGUUAAUAAGCAAAGGUCAUUCCUUACCUUGAAUGCCCUUAAUGAAUUUGAUCCAAAAUAUUCUGGUGUUGAUUGGAGGCAGAAAUUGGAGACGCAGAGAGGUGCAGUAUUGGCUACUGAAUUGAAGAACAAUGCUAAUAAGUUGGCUAAAUGGACUGCGCAGGCAUUGUUGGCUAGUGCGGACUUGAUGAAAAUAGGGUAUGUUUCUAGGGUUCAUCCACGUGAUCAUUUCAACCAUGUGAUAUUGGCGGUUGUUGGGUACAAGCCAAGGGAAUUUUCUACUCAGAUUAAUCUGAAUACUGCGAAUAUGUGGGGUAUUGUUAAGUCUAUUGUGGACUUGUGUAUGAAACUGAACGAGGGUAAGUAUGUCCUUGUCAAGGAUCCCUCGAAGCCUCAAGUUAGGAUUUAUGAGGUUCCAGCAGAUGCUUUUGAGAAUGAGUACGUGGAGGAGCCAUUGCCUGAGGAAGAACAGGUUCAGCCACCUGGUGAAGAUGCCGAAGGCGGGGAGCCAAGUGCAGCUACUAAUGAUGUAGAAGAUAACAGCGCUAAUGCACAGGCGUAAUGGUAAUGAUUCGUGACUAUAAUUAACUUGAUACCAAAACCGUUACUUCUAUAUUAAUCAUGCAUGAUAUGUCUGUUGGUUUGUGUUCCUUAGUUACCAAAGGUCUUGGAUGAAUGUUUUCUGGUGUUUACUUGAGUUAGACAUGGUUCAAAGUUAGUCACCAGGAGAAUUUUGUUUAUGCUUGUAGUGAAAUAUUAAUUAUUUUCUCGUGUUUUUCUGAAGUUGGAUAAUUUAGCAUUCUGCUUUAAAUUUUAAUUGGAUGCUUGCCAGUAAUUUUUACUAUAGUAAAUCAAACCAAGGAAUGAUAAUCCUACCAUGUAUGUGAAGAUUAUUGGGGUAUGUUUGAAAUAGAUAAAACUUGUGGCAUUGAGAACAAAUUUAAACUAUGAGAGCAUGGAAUCUCUUAUGACAUUCUAACAAAUUAUCGCUGCAAACAAUUUCAAGUGGAUUGCCAUUUGAAUUUCACAUAUGAUUAGAAUUUGUAAUUUGGAAGGUACUAGGUCAUUGCCAUUUGAAUUCUCUUGGAGGUCCAUUUUAUCAUUUUGAAAGGUAUUUUCAUACUUUCAUAACAUAAUUUUACAUGAAUUCCAUAAAUAAGUCUUAUUCGUUCUAAACAUAGGCUUAGUGAAUUUUAUGCCCGCUGAUAUUUCUUGUGAAAUUUAUAUCGCGAUAUUUUUUAUGUUUGUCUAUCUUUUUUUAAGCUGGUAAAUGAGGUUUUUUGUUGGAAAAUAUGUCAUUGAGUUUGAUUCAAAUUCCAAUUAUAGAAUGGUAAUAGCAAUACAAUGAAAAUGGGAUGGAAAAUUGAAUUAAAAACAACAUUCUCAUUCCAAGUGAAUUUUAGGUCCAAUUCAAGUUGGUUGAUUUUUUAAUUUCUUCCUCGAUAUGCGUGGAUACAAAGUCAUUGUUAUAUAAUUGAGGAAAUGGGUGAGCUUGAUCCAAUUAUGUAUUAUGUAAACUUUGCCUAAUUUCUAUGUAUCAAAUAAAUAAGAUUUAGGAAUAAAAUAGGAUUAGAAUAGGUCUGAACAAAAUACAAUGAAAGUUUUUUUUUUGUGUACUUGGUUAGAUAGCACUUCUAGUUCUCAGUUCGUUAGAAGAUAGAUGAAAAUGAAUUUUAUUCAUAUGAAGUUUAUUUCAAAAAAAUAAGUUUUUGUAUCAUGAGCGAUAUGACAUGAGUUACAUGACUACCUUUCAAAUUGAUGCACCCAUCUUACUGAAGAUUGUUUUAGGUUAUAUAGGUCCGUAACAAUUGAUCAAUUUUUAUAAAAGUAAUUUCCAAAUACCACUGUGGACAUAGGUCCAUAACAAUUGAUCAAUUUUUAUAAAAGUAACUUCCAAAUACUACUGUAGACAUUUGUUUUUUUCCUUCUUAAUAAUAAGAAAAGACUAUGAGGGUGAUUGAAAUUUCUUGUUUUAAGCUUAUAGGUAACUUUAAACACUUAGUUAAAUUUUUUUUUUCUGUAAAGGGUGCUUAAAAACUUUACAUCUCAUUUCAAAUUUUUAAAGUUUAAUUUUUUAAUCUAACAAAUCUUUCUAAUUAUCAUUUUUAUCUACUUAAAAUUAACAAAAUACAUAUUAAAAUAAAUUACAAAAUAUUUAUAGAAAAUAUAUGUUUAUUAUUAGUUCUUUCUAAAAAGAUAAAUGUUUAUUUUUUUCUAAUCACCAUUUUGUUAAAAUCAUGGUGGCUUAUUUUUUAAAUGAGUGUCAACUUUAAGUAAUUUUAAGUAAUUUAAAGUACGAGGGGUGCUCUAAGUGCAUUUCUUGAAGCAAUCCUAACUUGUGCCGAGCAGGAUUCCUACUUGGUUUGCAUGGACAAAGUUCGGACUUUUGCCUUUAUGUCAGAUUGUUUUGAAGCUUUCAAAAAAUUGAUACAUAUGGAUCAGGCAAGAUUCUUUUAGUUGGUGGGUUUUUAGUUUUAGUUUUUUCACCUGUAUCGGAAUGGUCAUAAUGGCUCUACUCCUAGCUAUCGGGUUGGUAUCUUACUUGGACAUACUGCCAUGGGGGAUCAUGAAUACAUGCUUAGCCUGCUCACACAGAAUUGCAUCCAGUUAUCUAUUUUCAGUCAUAUUCCACACAAUACAAACCGAAAAGAUAGAGAAGUAUUAGUAACUCAGGUCUAGGAAGCAUAAUCGCUUUCUUUAAAUCCAUGGAAGUUGCAUGAUCUCAAGCAUCUUUUAUAAACUAGUAGAAAACUUAGCAGUUCGAAAGGGAGUUAGCUAUCUGUCACUGAAAUUACUAUGGGGUUUAUCUUGGGUCAAUAUGAGGGCAGACAUAAGAAAAUGACAGUGUACAAGACUGGGGCGAGUUAUUUACCAUUUCUAGAGGGAGGUUUGUUGUUGCGCUUCUAUUGUGUCAUUGAAAUGUGUAAAUUCAUCCACAUCUGCUCUCUAAUUUCCAUCAUUCAGAAUGUUGCUAUCACCCUCAGUGACACAAAUAAAAGCUAUGUAUGCAAACUAUUCGUUUUUCAGUAUAAUGGGGAUCAUCUUGUGAAUACUUACAAUAAGGUGGUUGAUUGUAUGCUGGCCUGAAUAUGUUCAACGUCUGUGCUUCUAGUGAUUAGAGUAGUCAUCAAGGGAAUGUAUGUUUAUCUUUGAGUCUCUCUUCAUCUAAUUUAUUGUAUUUUGGGGCUUAGAAGUGGAAGAACACCUUUUACAUAUAUUGUGGUGGCCCUAAUCUUUCUCAAAUACCAUAUUAUAUGCAGAAAAUGUACACCAUCAUUCUUUUUAUUUCAUUCUACAUGCCUCCAGUGACAUUUGUUGGUGAUUGCAGAUAGUAUGUGGUCAUUUGCUGAGAAGAAUCUUCUUGGGACCUAAGAGUUUUUUAGCAGCCCUGUGAGGUUUUAAGUAUUCUUUUUUUUUUUUUUUGGUUUCUUUUUCAUAUAAUUUAUCUUUCAGACUAAUGUAUAAUUUGAGUAGAAAGAUUUUGUAAGGAGUUCCUCUUGAUAGUAAGGAGACAUUAUUAGUCACUCUGUUGUGGAUGGUUUGUGGGUCUGGAAACUGGAAUGAGAAACCAUUCUUCUCCCUCUUUCUUCACGGUUUAAAAACAACCUGAUUGUGGUUUCUGGGUUUGUUUUGUUCUCAUUCUUUUUGAUAUAUUUAUAAUUGUUAUGUGCCUGGUUAUUUUAGUAACUUUAAAAGAUUUAACAAAAGGGGUUUUGACUAUUGUGUGUUCUCGAAAUAGGGUAUAUUUUAAAGUUCGUAUGUCAUACGUUAAAACUAAAUAUAUAUAUAUAUAUCAACCUUUUCAAUAAUUUGUUUAAUAAAUUAAAAAAUAAAAUAAAAGGAUCCAACGGUCGAAUACAUUGGAAACUUCUCCAUGGUCCUUGUAAGUAGUGCAAAAUUCGAAAAGCAUAAAUUUUUACUUCCCCCAUAGCAUGUGACCCUCUCUGUCACUUGUCCAUAUCAAAUCAAUGCCAUGUAUAUUUUUAAAAAGAAAAAUUGUUAGUAAAUAUAUAUAUAUAGAUAUAUAUAUUGAAAAUUAAAAUGGGUCGGAUAGUUUUUCCUGUUAUUAAAAAAAUAUAACUAUUAUGUUAAUACAUUUAAAUUAAAGUUAACUUAUUAAUAAUUGGUUCUUGUAUAUGGACAAAAAGAAAAUGUCCCUCCAUUUCUUUUUAACUUUGAAACCCUGUUUGGAUGCAUGAAUAAAUGAAUAAUCCAAGAAGCUACCCCACCACCAUUUACAUAUAAACAUUUUCAUGAAUAAAAACCGCAGAGAAUCACGGCCUUACACCCCCCUAUAUAUCCCCUUUCUUUUCUUUCCUCACUUCACUACUCUCCCUCUUCUACCUUACUUACACCAGCAACACCAUGGCUCAUUAUAAACUCUUUCUCCUCACACUGCUCUUCACGGCCACCUGCUUCAAUGCAGAGCUCAGCCACGACGCCGAAGCUUUCUCACCUCAUUACUCUCCGGCAACCUCUCCGGCGCCCCACCAUCACCACCACCCACCAGCUCUUGCACCUGUUCAACCCCCGACUCAUCACCACCACCACCAUCCUCACCCACCCACUAAACCACCGACCCACUCGCCAGCUAACCCCCCUGUUCAUCCCCCAGUAAAGCCUCCGGCACCCUCACCGGUGAAACCUCCGGUUCAUCCACCAGUAAAGCCUCCUGUGAAGCCUCCGGUGAAGCCGCCGAGCUAUCCUUUCCCAAGGCGGUUUGUAGCAGUGCAGGGUGUUGUUUACUGCAAGUCUUGCAAGUACGCCGGAGUUGAUACCCUCUUGGGAGCUUCACCGGUUUUGGGUUUGUCCUCCUAACCAUGUCUCUCUACUCUUACAUUUUUCUUUCUUUGCUUUUUAGUUUAAGCAAGGCGUUGGAAAUGGCUUCUUGAAUCAUGCAUGCAUGUCCAUGAAUUGUUGCAUUGUAUAUAUAUAUAUGUAUAUGAAUAUAUAAUCUGCAUGAUAUGUUUAGUCAAUGGCGUAAUGUAUACGUGGUUUUAUUAGCAAGAUAAUACAUUCUUACUCGUUAUAAAUUGUGUUUACAUAUAUGGUUUUAUUAGCUUUAAAACCUUUAUUCCAUUUCUAGGCAAAAGAACUGACAAUGUUUACCAGUAUGGCAGCACUGAAUUACUGUACCACCAACCGUAACAUUAAAGCUGCCGCUCACUGUUAUCUCCACUCCGUGACAAAAUUCCUUUUUCUUUUUUUUUUACUCUUCUUCUUUUUAACCAUUUUCACAAGUUACAUGCACUCUAUUUUACUUUAUUACUUUUUACUUUCAAUUAAUUAAUUCAUUUAAUGUAUUUUAAUUUCUUAGAUGGCCCAGUAAUACUUUUUUAUGUAAUUAAUAUACAUAUAUAUUGUGAAAACCUUCUAGAAUUUACCGCACAGUAAAAAGCUGAA
rnacentral:lncRNA from 1 species